rnacentral:rRNA from 1 species
UAGCGGAGGGGGUUAGCGUUGUUCGGAAUGACUGGGCGUAAAGCGCGCGUAGGCGGGCUGGAAAGUUGGGGGUGAAAUCCCGGGGCUCAACCCCGGAAUGGCCUUCAAAACUCCCAGCCUAGAGUUCGAGAGAGGUGAGUGGAAUUCCGAGUGUAGAGGUGAAAUUCGUAGAUAUUCGGAGGAACACCAGUGGCGAAGGCGGCUCACUGGACGACUGUUGACGCUGAGGAGCGAAAGCGUGGGGAGCGAACAGG